AUGAGAAGCUGCCACAGAGUCCUGCAGGACAAGCAUGGGGAGUUUUCUCCUCCAGCAUAUCACAGCGAUUUCCCGAUAAACUUCUGGUGCAACUGGACUAUCUGGGCAGGUUCCAGAAAGCACAUAAUCAUUUAUAUUCAGGGAUUUAUGACUAAGGAGGAUUGCAACAAAAAUGAGGACAAAAUCCUAUUUGAAGGAAUUUCUUCAUUGGUAGAGGACAGUGUGGUUUACGCUUGCUGGAAAAAGGAGAUGCACGUUUUUGCCACCUUUGCUGAGGCUGUCCAUGUUGUAUUACUGAAGACAUACCUGCCCAACUGCAGAGACACGCAAUUUAAAGGCAAAUAUUACAUCUUUCACAACGAGGAAGGUGAAUCGUCCUCCAGAGAGGAUUUGAUUCCUGAAACUCCUGCUUCAAAACCACUGAAGCGAGAUCAUAUUCUUCAGUCGGGGGUGGUGGAAGACCUUAGAGAUGUGCUGAGCUUUGCAACCACUACGAGCCUUGGGAGCCUUGACAAGCCCACRGCAGUUGACACCUUGAUCCCAGCAUCACACCAAGGGCUGAGGACGGAGCCGCUGGAAACAAAUGCUCCUUGUGAGCUGGACUCCCCAUGGCUGGUGGCUCCAGCGCCCUGUGGGCAGGAUCAAGGCAGAGGGAACUCUUGGGGUGUGAGCCCCACUGCAGCGCUGGAUACCUGGGGGCUGAGUCUCUCCACGAGCGGAGACAUCGCUGUGGAUUUUGGUUAUAUGCAUGGAUUUUCAAGCGUGCUUUCUGAAACCCCAUUGCUUGGUACCUUGCAGGGAGAGGAGCCUUUUCUGAGGACUGCUGGUGUGGGCCUGGAGAGCAGGCAGGCUUUCUUGCACCCUACUUUACAGCCCAAAGAUCUGGGAGACCCACAGUUUAAUAUUAAACCAACACGCACGAGUGACCUGGACUUGGCUGCACCUUCACAGGAUUCGUCUCCUGGCAGAGGAAAAAGCAGAGUAGAGGGCGUUGAUCCUGCCACGUACCUGGGGCUUGGCACAGUCGGGUUGGAGAAGACCAAAAGGUGUCCCCUCUUGAGCAAUGUGGCUGAUGGAGCAGUGAGCAGUCUUGCUGAGGGCCUGAUGCCUAGCUUGACUAGCCGAAAUGAAGUGGUAAAUGGGGAUCACUCACUGCUGCUACCUGGGAGAAGCUUUUUUGAGGCUUUGUCCCUGACUGAACCUGAGCUGAGAACAAGUGUCUUCCAGCAUACGACAUUCCUGAGUUUUCCUGCCCCGGGAAGUUUCAGGGGAGUUGAUGAGGUGGAAAAGGUGCUACAUUCUACAGCAUCGUGGGAUGUCCUCAAAGGCCAACCUCAGCUGAGCACCCAGAGCAGCUGUGUCCUCCAGUUAGCCCCUACAGACCCCAGGAGCAUUGGACCACAUGGUGGUCACAUGCCCCGUGUGUCCUCUUYGGGUGUAAAAAGCUGCUGCUGCCUGAGCAGCACCACGACACAGCUGCCGUUGGUUAUGCCCCUUCUGCCAGCAGCACAGGGACAUGCUCCCUCUGGGUCAGAGAUGGUAUUUUCCACCCUGGGGAUGGAAAUGACCCUUAUGCCAGUGCGCCCCAACCCAGACCCUGUCCCUGCAGAGCUGGGCGCCACCAAUUUCGCCCCGGUAGUGUCUCUGCCUGCAGAACAGCUUGUGGAGCUGUGGAUGUCGGAGCCUUUUGCUGUCUCCACCACAAAUGCUGAGGCCUUCAUGGUGCCACCAGCCCAGGAGCUCGGGGGACUUGCCAAGGAGAUGGAGCCCCCUGUGCCAUCAGCCUUCACCCUGAGCAGCUUGGAUGGGGCUUGGACCUCUGUCGCCCCAAGUGCUCGGCAAGGAGGUGACCUCGUGGGUCCCCUUGUGGCCCCUGGCUGCCUCAGCCCUGGUGUGGGAAAGCUUGUGCUGGAUGGGGAUGGAGAGCAGGGCAGCUGGAGGGGUGAAGUGUCAGCUCCCGCAGGCUGGGUAGAUGGGGGGUCCUUCCCCACUGCCAGUGCUGCUCGGCAGCAGGUUCUCAAUCCGCAGCUUGGCAUGGGGCUUCCUCAGCCAGAGGACCUGGUGGCCCCAUCCCUCCCAUCAGCACCUGUGUCUCUGCCCUCUGACCCUGUACCCCAAGGCAUAUGGAUACCAGAAGGAGSACAACAUCACAAACACCCUGGUAGGUCUUUAAUAUUUGGUAUCUUGGCAUAA
ensembl:lncRNA